rnacentral:rRNA from 1 species
GACGAACGCUGGCGGCGUGCUUAACACAUGCAAGUCGAACGGAAAGGCCCUGCUUUUGUGGGGUGCUCGAGUGGCGAACGGGUGAGUAACACGUGAGUAACCUGCCCUUGACUUUGGGAUAACUUCAGGAAACUGGGGCUAAUACCGGAUAGGAGCUCCUGCUGCAUGGUGGGGGUUGGAAAGUUUCGGCGGUUGGGGAUGGACUCGCGGCUUAUCAGCUUGUUGGUGGGGUAGUGGCUUACCAAGGCUUUGACGGGUAGCCGGCCUGGGAGGGUGACCGGCCACAUUGGGACUGGGAUACGGCCCAGACUCCUACGGGAGGCAGCAGUGGGGAAUAUUGCACUAUGGGCGGAAGCCUGAUGCAGCAACGCCGCGUGCGGGAUGACGGCCUUCGGUUUGUAAACCGCUUUCGCCUGUGACGAAGCGUGAGUGACGGUAAUGGGUAAAGAAGCACCGGCUAACUACGUG